rnacentral:rRNA from 1 species
GAUGAACGCUGGCGGCGUGCCUAAUACAUGCAAGUCGAGCGAACGGACGAGACGCUUGCUUUUCUGAUGUUAGCGGCGGACGGGUGAGUAACACGUGGAUAACCUACCUAUAAGACUGGGAUAACUUCGGGAAACCGAAGCUAAUACCGGAUAAUCUUUUGAACCGCAUGGUUCAAAAGUGAAAGACGGUCUUGCUGUCACUUAUAGAUGGAUCCGCGCUGCAUUAGCUAGUUGGUAAGGUAACGGCUUACCAAGGCAACGAUGCAUAGCCGACCUGAGAGGGUGAUCGGCCACACUGGAACUGAGACACGGUCCAGACUCCUACGGGAGGCAGCAGUAGGGAAUCUUCCGCAAUGGGCGAAAGCCUGACGGAGCAACGCCGCGUGAGUGAUGAAGGUCUUCGGAUCGUAAAACUCUGUUAUGAGGGAAGAACAUAUGUGUAAGUAACUGUGCACAUCUUGACGGUACCUAAUCAGAAAGCCACGGCUAACUACGUG